AGAAAGGAGACGAGUGAACUCACCGGAGGUAAUAGGUCACGUUCACCGUAAUUUCGUCGGAGCUUCAAAACUCCGACCAGGUCCGUUAUCGCAUUUAAAAAAAACAUUUCCUUUUUCAUGAUUAUUCCUUGUUGACUGGAUGAGUAUCGUUCGAUUUACUUUCGUUUCAUUGUUGCUCAGAUUCACAAGAGGUUUCGAUCUAGUUUUUUUUUCCAGAUCUGUUUGUGUAGCUUAGCACUUGAUGUAUGAAUGAUAACAGUUAUGAGAAAUUGUUUGAUGAUGAUUGAUUUUCGAAAGAGUUCAAGGAGAUGAAUUGCAGUUGUUGUUUAAGUUCAAGUAGAAUUAUGGUUUAACAAAGGGACAUAUUCAUCUGGUUUUGAGAGAAUAUGAUCUUGACU
rnacentral:lncRNA from 1 species